CAUGCAAGUCGAGCGGUAACAUUUCUAGCUUGCUAGAAGAUGACGAGCGGCGGACGGGUGAGUAAUGCUUGGGAACAUGCCUUGAGGUGGGGGACAACAGUUGGAAACGACUGCUAAUACCGCAUAAUGUCUACGGACCAAAGGGGGCUUCGGCUCUCGCCUUUAGAUUGGCCCAAGUGGGAUUAGCUAGUUGGUGAGGUAAUGGCUCACCAAGGCGACGAUCCCUAGCUGGUUUGAGAGGAUGAUCAGCCACACUGGGACUGAGACACGGCCCAGACUCCUACGGGAGGCAGCAGUGGGGAAUAUUGCACAAUGGGCGCAAGCCUGAUGCAGCCAUGCCGCGUGUGUGAAGAAGGCCUUCGGGUUGUAAAGCACUUUCAGUCAGGAGGAAAGGUUAGUAGUUAAUACCUGCUAGCUGUGACGUUACUGACAGAAGAAGCACCGGCUAACUCCGUGCCAGCAGCCGCGGUAAUACGGAGGGUGCGAGCGUUAAUCGGAAUUACUGGGCGUAAAGCGUACGCAGGCGGUUUGUUAAGCGAGAUGUGAAAGCCCCGGGCUCAACCUGGGAACUGCAUUUCGAACUGGCAAACUAGAGUGUGAUAGAGGGUGGUAGAAUUUCAGGUGUAGCGGUGAAAUGCGUAGAGAUCUGAAGGAAUACCGAUGGCGAAGGCAGCCACCUGGGUCAACACUGACGCUCAUGUACGAAAGCGUGGGGAGCAAACAGGAUUAGAUACCCUGGUAGUCCACGCCGUAAACGAUGUCUACUAGAAGCUCGGAACCUCGGUUCUGUUUUUCAAAGCUAACGCAUUAAGUAGACCGCCUGGGGAGUACGGCCGCAAGGUUAAAACUCAAAUGAAUUGACGGGGGCCCGCACAAGCGGUGGAGCAUGUGUUUAAUUCGAUGCAACGCGAAGAACCUUACCUACACUUGACAUACAGAGAACUUACUAGAGAUAGUUUGGUGCCUUCCGGGCACUCUGAUACAGGUGCUGCAUGGCUGUCGUCAGCUCGUGUUGUGAGAUGUUGGGUUAAGUUCCGGCACGAGCGCAACCCCUAUCCUUAGUGGCUAGCAGGUAUGGCUGAAAACUCUAAGGAGACUGCCGGGUGAAAAACCGAAAAAGUGGGACACACCCUCCAGGUCUC
rnacentral:rRNA from 1 species